rnacentral:rRNA from 1 species
AACGAACGCUGGCGGCGUGGAUAAGACAUGCAAGUCGAACGCUAUGCUCACUGUAGCAAUACAGUGGGUGUGGAGUGGCGCAAGGGUGCGUAACACGUGGGUAAUUUGCCGUAGAGUUGGGGAUAACUCGCUGAAAGGCGAGCUAAUACCGAAUGUGGUUAUGGGGAGGCAUCUCCUGAUAACUAAAGCUGGGGACCGCAAGGCCUGGCGCUCUAUGAUAAGCCCGCGGCCUAUCAGCUAGUUGGUGCGGUAACGGCGCACCAAGGCGAAGACGGGUAGCUGGUCUGAGAGGACGACCAGCCACACUGGAACUGAGACACGGUCCAGACACCUACGGGUGGCAGCAGUCGAGAAUUUUUCUCAAUGGGCGCAAGCCUGAAGGAGCGACGCCGCGUGGGGGAUGAAGGGUUUUCGAUCCGUAAACCCCUGUCAUUUGUGAACAAGGUGCCGGCAUGAAUAAUAUCGGCAUUGAUAGUAAUGAAAGG